rnacentral:lncRNA from 1 species
UACCAUAAGAAUGAUCAAUUUUUUUGAUUAAAUUAAAGUUUCUAGACAAAGAAUUCAUGACUUCUUUUAAUUCAAUUUUCAAAAUUUUAAUGAUUUUAUAUUAAUUAUUAGUUAUUAUAAAAGAAAAGCUAAAUGGUUGACUCAAAUUGUAGAGAUUCGAUAUCUAUUUAGUCUAAAUCUUUUCCAUGGAUCUGACCUCACCAGACUCAAACACCUAAUAGAUUGGGAUUGAGCCC